rnacentral:rRNA from 1 species
UUAAGCGACUAAGCGUACACGGUGGAUGCCCUGGCAGUCAGAGGCGAUGAAGGACGUGCUAAUCUGCGAUAAGCGUCGGUAAGGUGAUAUGAACCGUUAUAACCGGCGAUUUCCGAAUGGGGAAACCCAGUGUGUUUCGUCACACUAUCAUUAACUGAAUCCAUAGGUUAAUGAGGCGAACCGGGGGAACUGAAACAUCUAAGUACCCCGAGGAAAAGAAAUCAACCGAGAUUCCCCCAGUAGCGGCGAGCGAACGGGGAGAAGCCCAGAGCCUGAAUCAGUGUGUGUGUUAGUGGAAGCGUCUGGAAAGGCGCGCGAUACAGGGUGACAGCCCCGUACACAAAAAUGCACAUAUUGUGAGCUCGAUGAGUAGGGCGGGACACGUGGUAUCCUGUCUGAAUAUGGGGGGACCAUCCUCCAAGGCUAAAUACUCCUGACUGACCGAUAGUGAACCAGUACCGUGAGGGAAAGGCGAAAAGAACCCCGGCGAGGGGAGUGAAAAAGAACCUGAAACCGUGUACGUACAAGCAGUGGGAGCCUCUUUAUGGGGUGACUGCGUACCUUUUGUAUAAUGGGUCAGCGACUUAUAUUCUGUAGCAAGGUUAACCGAAUAGGGGAGCCGAAGGGAAACCGAGUCUUAACUGGGCGUUAAGUUGCAGGGUAUAGACCCGAAACCCGGUGAUCUAGCCAUGGGCAGGUUGAAGGUUGGGUAACACUAACUGGAGGACCGAACCGACUAAUGUUGAAAAAUUAGCGGAUGACUUGUGGCUGGGGGUGAAAGGCCAAUCAAACCGGGAGAUAGCUGGUUCUCCCCGAAAGCUAUUUAGGUAGCGCCUCGUGAAUUCAUCUCCGGGGGUAGAGCACUGUUUCGGCAAGGGGGUCAUCCCGACUUACCAACCCGAUGCAAACUGCGAAUACCGGAGAAUGUUAUCACGGGAGACACACGGCGGGUGCUAACGUCCGUCGUGAAGAGGGAAACAACCCAGACCGCCAGCUAAGGUCCCAAAGUCAUGGUUAAGUGGGAAACGAUGUGGGAAGGCCCAGACAGCCAGGAUGUUGGCUUAGAAGCAGCCAUCAUUUAAAGAAAGCGUAAUAGCUCACUGGUCGAGUCGGCCUGCGCGGAAGAUGUAACGGGGCUAAACCAUGCACCGAAGCUGCGGCAGCGACGCUUAUGCGUUGUUGGGUAGGGGAGCGUUCUGUAAGCCUGUGAAGGUGUGCUGUGAGGCAUGCUGGAGGUAUCAGAAGUGCGAAUGCUGACAUAAGUAACGAUAAAGCGGGUGAAAAGCCCGCUCGCCGGAAGACCAAGGGUUCCUGUCCAACGUUAAUCGGGGCAGGGUGAGUCGACCCCUAAGGCGAGGCCGAAAGGCGUAGUCGAUGGGAAACAGGUUAAUAUUCCUGUACUUGGUGUUACUGCGAAGGGGGGACGGAGAAGGCUAUGUUGGCCGGGCGACGGUUGUCCCGGUUUAAGCGUGUAGGCUGGUUUUCCAGGCAAAUCCGGAAAAUCAAGGCUGAGGCGUGAUGACGAGGCACUACGGUGCUGAAGCGACAAAUGCCCUGCUUCCAGGAAAAGCCUCUAAGCAUCAGGUAACAUCAAAUCGUACCCCAAACCGACACAGGUGGUCAGGUAGAGAAUACCAAGGCGCUUGAGAGAACUCGGGUGAAGGAACUAGGCAAAAUGGUGCCGUAACUUCGGGAGAAGGCACGCUGAUAUGUAGGUGAAGCGACUUGCUCGUGGAGCUGAAAUCAGUCGAAGAUACCAGCUGGCUGCAACUGUUUAUUAAAAACACAGCACUGUGCAAACACGAAAGUGGACGUAUACGGUGUGACGCCUGCCCGGUGCCGGAAGGUUAAUUGAUGGGGUUAGCGGUAACGCGAAGCUCUUGAUCGAAGCCCCGGUAAACGGCGGCCGUAACUAUAACGGUCCUAAGGUAGCGAAAUUCCUUGUCGGGUAAGUUCCGACCUGCACGAAUGGCGUAAUGAUGGCCAGGCUGUCUCCACCCGAGACUCAGUGAAAUUGAACUCGCUGUGAAGAUGCAGUGUACCCGCGGCAAGACGGAAAGACCCCGUGAACCUUUACUAUAGCUUGACACUGAACAUUGAGCCUUGAUGUGUAGGAUAGGUGGGAGGCUUUGAAGUGUGGACGCCAGUCUGCAUGGAGCCGACCUUGAAAUACCACCCUUUAAUGUUUGAUGUUCUAACGUUGGCCCCUUAUCGGGGUUGCGGACAGUGUCUGGUGGGUAGUUUGACUGGGGCGGUCUCCUCCUAAAGAGUAACGGAGGAGCACGAAGGUUGGCUAAUCCUGGUCGGACAUCAGGAGGUUAGUGCAAUGGCAUAAGCCAGCUUGACUGCGAGCGUGACGGCGCGAGCAGGUGCGAAAGCAGGUCAUAGUGAUCCGGUGGUUCUGAAUGGAAGGGCCAUCGCUCAACGGAUAAAAGGUACUCCGGGGAUAACAGGCUGAUACCGCCCAAGAGUUCAUAUCGACGGCGGUGUUUGGCACCUCGAUGUCGGCUCAUCACAUCCUGGGGCUGAAGUAGGUCCCAAGGGUAUGGCUGUUCGCCAUUUAAAGUGGUACGCGAGCUGGGUUUAGAACGUCGUGAGACAGUUCGGUCCCUAUCUGCCGUGGGCGCUGGAGAACUGAGGGGGGCUGCUCCUAGUACGAGAGGACCGGAGUGGACGCAUCACUGGUGUUCGGGUUGUCAUGCCAAUGGCACUGCCCGGUAGCUAAAUGCGGAAGAGAUAAGUGCUGAAAGCAUCUAAGCACGAAACUUGCCCCGAGAUGAGUUCUCCCUGACCCUUUAAGGGUCCUGAAGGAACGUUGAAGACGACGACGUUGAUAGGCCGGGUGUGUAAGCGCAGCGAUGCGUUGAGCUAACCGGUACUAAUGAACCGUGAGGCUUAACCUU